UCGCCGGCCCGGGUGCCCCCCCCGCCGCGCCGACCCGCGCCUCCCCGCCGCGCUCCGGCGUCUCUUCGGCGCGCCCGGCUCCCGGCUGUCCCCGCCCGGCGUGCGGGCCGGUGUAUGGGCCCCUCACCAUGUCGCUGAAGCCCCAGCAGCAGCAGCAGCAGCAGCAGCAGCCCGCGGCCGCCAAUGCCCGCAAGCCUGGCGGCGGCGGCGGCCUCCUCACGUCGCCCGCCGCCGCGCCGUCGCCGUCCUCUUCCUCAGUCUCGUCGUCCUCGGCCGCGGCUUCCUCCUCCUCCUCCUCCUCGGUGGCGGCGGCGAGCGCAGGCGGCGGGCGGCCGGGCCUGGGCAGAGGCCGAAACAGUAGCAAAGGACUGCCUCAAUCUACGAUUUCUUUUGAUGGAAUCUAUGCAAAUAUGAGGAUGGUUCAUAUACUUACAUCAGUUGUUGGAUCCAAAUGUGAAGUACAAGUGAAAAACGGAGGUAUAUAUGAAGGAGUUUUUAAAACAUACAGUCCUAAGUGUGAUUUGGUACUUGAUGCUGCGCAUGAGAAAAGUACAGACUCCAGUUCGGGGCCAAAACGUGAAGAAAUAAUGGAGAGUAUUUUGUUCAAGUGUUCAGAUUUUGUUGUGGUACAGUUUAAAGAUAUGGACUCCAGUUAUGCAAGAAGAGAUGCUUUUACUGACUCUGCUAUCAGUGCUAAAGUGAAUGGUGAACACAAAGAGAAGGACCUGGAGCCCUGGGAUGCAGGUGAACUCACUACCAGUGAGGAACUGGAGGCUUUGGAAAAUGAUGUUUCUAAUGGAUGGGAUCCCAAUGAUAUGUUUCGAUAUAAUGAAGAAAAUUAUGGUGUAGUGUCUACAUAUGAUAGCAGUCUAUCUUCAUAUACGGUGCCCUUAGAAAGGGAUAACUCAGAAGAAUUUUUAAAACGAGAAGCAAGGGCAAACCAGUUAGCAGAAGAAAUUGAAUCAAGUGCCCAGUAUAAAGCCCGGGUGGCCCUGGAAAAUGAUGAUAGGAGCGAAGAAGAAAAAUACACAGCAGUUCAGAGAAAUUCCAGUGAACGUGAGGGCCACAACAUAAACACUAGGGAAAAUAAAUAUAUUCCUCCUGGACAAAGAAAUAGAGAAGUCAUAUCCUGGGGAAGUGGGCGACAGAAUUCACCGCGUAUGGGCCAGCCUGGAUCGGGCUCCAUGCCAUCGAGAUCCACCUCUCACACUUCAGAUUUCAACCCAAAUUCUGGUUCAGACCAAAGAGUAGUUAAUGGAGGUGUUCCCUGGCCAUCGCCUUGCCCAUCUCCUUCCUCUCGCCCACCUUCUCGCUACCAGUCAGGUCCCAACUCUCUUCCACCUCGGGCAGCCACCCCUACACGGCCGCCCUCCAGGCCCCCCUCGCGGCCAUCCAGACCCCCGUCUCACCCCUCUGCUCAUGGUUCUCCAGCUCCUGUCUCUACUAUGCCUAAACGCAUGUCUUCAGAAGGGCCUCCAAGGAUGUCCCCAAAGGCCCAGCGACACCCUCGAAAUCACAGAGUUUCUGCUGGGAGGGGUUCCAUUUCCAGUGGCCUAGAAUUUGUAUCCCACACCCCACCAAGUGAAGCGACUGCUCCUCCAGCAGCAAGGACCAGUCCCGCAGGGGGCACGUGGUCAUCAGUGGUCAGCGGGGUUCCAAGAUUAUCUCCUAAAACUCACAGACCCAGGUCUCCCAGACAGAAUAGUAUUGGAAAUACUCCUAGUGGGCCAGUUCUUGCUUCUCCCCAAGCUGGUAUUAUUCCGGCUGAAGCUGUUGCUAUGCCUGUACCAGCUGCAUCUCCUACGCCUGCCAGUCCUGCAUCCAACAGAGCUGUAACCCCGUCUCUUGAGGCUAAAGAUUCCAGGCUUCAAGAUCAGAGGCAGACCUCUUCUGCAGGGAAUAAAGAAAAUAUGAAGCCCAAUGAGACAUCACCUAGCUUCUCAAAAGCUGAAAGUAAAGGUAUAUCACCAAUUGUUUCUGAACAUAGAAAACAGAUUGAUGAUUUAAAGAAAUUUAAGAAUGACUUUAGGUUACAGCCAAGUUCUACUUCUGAAUCUAUGGAUCAGCUGCUAAACAAAAAUAGAGAGGGAGAAAAAUCAAGAGAUUUGAUCAAAGACAAAAUUGAACCAAAUGCUAAGGAUUCUUUCAUUGAAAAUAGCAGCAACUGCACCAGUGGCAGCAGCAAGCCGAGCAGUCCCAGCAUUUCACCUUCAAUCCUCAGUAACACGGAGCACAAGAGGGGACCUGAGGUCACAUCCCAAGGGGUUCAGACUUCCAGUCCAGGAUGUAAACAAGAGAAAGAUGAUAAAGAGGAGAAGAAAGAUGCAGCUGAGCAAGUGAGGAAAUCAACGUUGAAUCCCAAUGCGAAGGAGUUCAACCCUCGUUCCUUUUCUCAGCCAAAGCCUUCUACCACCCCAACUUCGCCUCGUCCUCAAGCACAACCUAGCCCAUCUAUGGUGGGUCAUCAGCAGCCAACUCCAGUUUAUACUCAACCUGUUUGUUUUGCACCAAAUAUGAUGUAUCCAGUCCCAGUGAGCCCAGGAGUGCAACCUUUAUAUCCUAUACCUAUGACGCCCAUGCCCGUCAAUCAAGCCAAGACAUAUAGAGCAGGUAAAGUACCAAAUAUGCCCCAACAACGGCAAGACCAACAUCAUCAGAGUACCAUGAUGCACCCAGCCUCAGCAGCAGGCCCACCAAUUGUGGCCACCCCGCCAGCUUAUUCCACACAGUAUGUUGCCUAUAGUCCUCAGCAGUUUCCAAAUCAGCCUCUUGUUCAGCAUGUGCCACAUUAUCAGUCUCAGCAUCCUCAUGUCUAUAGUCCUGUAAUACAGGGUAAUGCUAGAAUGAUGGCACCACCAACACAUGCCCAGCCUGGUUUAGUAUCUUCUUCAGCAACUCAAUACGGGGCUCAUGAGCAGACGCAUGCGAUGUAUGCAUGUCCCAAAUUACCAUACAACAAGGAGACAAGCCCUUCUUUCUACUUUGCCAUUUCCACUGGCUCCCUUGCUCAGCAGUAUGCGCACCCUAAUGCUACCUUGCACCCUCAUACUCCACAUCCUCAGCCUUCAGCCACCCCCACUGGACAGCAGCAAAGCCAACAUGGUGGAAGCCAUCCUGCACCCAGUCCUGUUCAGCACCAUCAGCAUCAGGCCGCCCAGGCUCUCCACCUGGCCAGUCCGCAGCAGCAGUCAGCCAUUUACCAUGCGGGGCUUGCACCAACCCCACCUUCCAUGACACCUGCCUCCAAUACACAGUCGCCACAGAAUAGUUUUCCAACAGCACAACAGACCGUCUUUACGAUUCAUCCUUCUCAUGUUCAGCCGGCUUAUACCAAUCCACCCCACAUGGCCCAUGUACCUCAGGCUCAUGUACAGUCAGGAAUGGUUCCUUCUCAUCCAACUGCCCAUGCGCCAAUGAUGCUAAUGACGACACAGCCACCCGGCGGUCCCCAGGCCGCCCUCGCUCAAAGUGCACUACAGCCCAUUCCAGUCUCGACAACAGCGCAUUUCCCCUAUAUGACGCACCCUUCAGUUCUGGUUCAAGGUAUCUCUAGAAAAAGACAAGACUGAGAGAUGUUCUCUUUGGUGGCUAGAGGUCUGCUUCAGAAGGAGGAAGGCUGGCCAGAGUUGGGCAGUGCCGAAAGUCCACAUCCUCACCCUGACGCUGAUUCUAAAUGAUCAAAGGCAGAAGAUUUAUACCAGAUAAAGCCAUAUGGAUUGCUGGUCUAAAAUUCAAGGCAGGUUAGUUGACUUAAUUCUUUGGUGCUGGUGACUGUUAGUUUGUAAAAGUUCAUUGAAGUCAGGCGAAGGAGGUGAUGAUGCUGGGAGCAGUUAAGCUAUCCUUGUUGUCUGUAAUUAGAGAUAACUGGAGGGCUUGUGAUGCUUACUGUCCAACUGGCACUCAAGAGUCUGGCUCUCAGUAGAGGCUGCUGGCUUGGCCUCUUGCCGCCAGCAGUGGUCACAUUGAGGCUGGAAAGAGGGUGGUGGAAUGUGCUAUGACUGCGGUGGGCUGGCUGCAGCCGUCAGGGUUGCUGCCUCACUGCCUGUGACAGCAUCAAGCCCAGGGACCCACUGCCCCCGUUCCUCCAGCUCAACCUGCUCUAGCAGAAAGAAAAGGCAUUGACUUAGUGUCGCUUCUUCCCAGGCCAUGAGGGGCCUUUUUGUCGGAAUGUAUUUGAGCUGUCCUGGUAACUCAGACACAUUUAGUAAAUAAAUGUUUUUCUUGAACAUUUUACACUGAUGCAGUCUGGAAGUGGAUGACUGUGUCACAGAUUCUGAGCUUGUACUUUGUAGCCAGUCGGUCAGAGCUGCUGACUUGCUGUGCCUGGCUUGCCUCUUGGCACUACCUGAGAAUUGUAUGUUGAGCGCCUGUUAAGAAGUGAGUGCCCCUGGCUUGUGGAUAUCAUAUCCCAGAUGUCUGUUUAUCCUUCUGGUUGGAGGGAGGGAACUUACUUGUCUGGUUCAUUGUCUGCUUGGCCCCUUUCCUGUGCAGACAGGGGAAAAUCUGUACCAGUGACUUGUCAGCAUUUACUUUCUAUGAUGAGCUUUCUCUUGUAAAAGAGAAAUCCAAAACAGUGCUUACUCCUGGUCUACACUUUGCUUAGCAUUCAUUAAUCAGACCUGCUUGAUGUGUAGAAAAUAUGGCCCUUAGAAAUAGACAACUCUAGAUCAGGGUUGGUUAUGCUUUACCGUCUGUGAAAACACCCAGGACUGUUGGUUUUAUCUGUAUAUAUAAGGUGGGGGGAGGGGCACGCCACACAGCUUGCAGGAUCUCAGUUCCCUGACCAGGGGUGGAACCCACGCCCCCUACAGGGGAAGCACAGAGCCCUACCACUGGACCACCAGGGAAGUCCCAGGAGUGUUGGUUUUAAAAGUGGAAGAGAGGUGGCUCCUGACCUCCCUGCUUCUCCCAAAGUCUGACCUCUGACCUCUUGGAGUGGAGAACGGCUGGAGGGAACAGACACACGCCUCACCCCAGAUAAGGCAGGCAAGUAGUUAGUUUAGGCCAAGGUUUAAUUUUAGCUUUUGACUGAUGUAUGUAUAAAUGUUAAGCUGCGCUGAACUCCCAGUUUCCUAGAAGCCACUUCAAGGAGCCCAGUGGCUAUACUGAACGGCUCUGCUCGCACCCACAAGCAGCUGACUCCACUCGGUCACUGCCUCCCUUGUUUCUGAGCCUCUGCAUGAAAGUUCUGGGAGGAGCCAGCCCCCAUGAAUUGUAUCACUUGUGAAAGGCAAGUAUAGAUGGAGAUUUGACUGCAGGACCUCCCUGCAUGGUAGAGGUUAUGUGUGCCUAUGUAUACAUGCACACAUGCUUCAUCAGAUGAAGCAGUGGUUACUGCUGGAACAGAACACUGAUUGUGGGCUAUUGAAGGAGUUUCUCAUUAGCUGUGGCACCAGAUUCCUAGCUUCCAUUUUGGCUCAAGAAUGAGCCUAAAACCUUGUGGGAUAAUUUAAUAAGCCUUUAGACACUUGGAGGCUCUGAGCCAGCCCUGCUGGUGAAGGAUUUACUAGAAAGGGCCCAGCAGCGGCCCAGCAGCCCUUUAUUCCUUUUUCCUUGCCCCUCCCUUACCCCUCAGUUUAACUCUCACCAUAAAGCUGCUGUAAACCAGAAUCCAGUUUUUUAUUCAUAAGGCACCAGGGUGGAAUUGUUCCUUGCCACCCUCCUAUUUCAGUAAUUGCCUGAAUUUCCCUGAAAGGGUGACACACUUCACUUCUCUACAUUUAGGAAGGACAGUGGCUCCUCAGCAACAGGUGACUGUCCUGAGGAUGCAAUAGACAAGGAAGCCAGGCAUGCUGGCUCGAACCAGGAACUGGUCAAGUAGGAUUUGCAUAGCUGUCUCUGACUACAAAAAUCGCAUGGGUAUUAGUUCAAACAGUGCAAUGAAAUAAGCAGUGGUUUAAUUUUGAAACCUGAAUCCUUUGAAAAAUUAAUCUGAGGUAAAAAUGUUUAAAAUCAUUUUUGACCUUUAGCUUGUCCAACUGCCAGAACUUUGUCCUAAAGUUGAGAGUCGAAGCAGGAUAGGUGUGGUCACCUGUGGCUUGGGUACAGCAGACCCGCCACGUGGACUGAAGCUAUAAAGGGAAAAACCACAGGAGAAUCCAGGGCUUGUUAGUGUUUUGGGCUUCCUGAUGGGCCCCCUCCCCCCUCCCCAAGUAGAAAGUCUGCCAGCUGGGACAGUGUCAGUGAAAAAGAGAACAAGUUUCCACUGCCAACUCCAGCCCUCACCCCACUGCCCCCUCUAAGAGUGAUGGCGCCUGGUCCUAGGGACCCAGGGCAGGAGCUGGCGACAUCCACGAACAAGAACUACAUCUGUAAACAAUAAGGAGAAAGCCAGGUGAGAAUGGAACUUCUAGGAGGCCCUUUAACAGGCCUAAUUGAAGGGUCACAUCCAAACUGGAAUGAACAGUUAACAGUGUCCCUUAAAUCUCUCUCUGGAAGGAAGGAAAGAAAGUUACAUUCAGAAGUUCACAUCUCUACUUGCUUGUGCUUCUCAGGGGCCUCUGGGAGGCCUGUCAGAGAGGCGUGUACUGAUUGUCUAUGGCCCGCAGGUGGCUCCGGGAGGAGGAGUCCAUUUCAUAGUCCGAGUCCCGGGCUCGACUGGUGGGCUCGGGCUCCAGGUGCCGCAGGCUGUUGGCCAGUUCCUCAGGCGAAGGCACCAGGUGGAAGAUCUGCUCUGGGGGAGAGGACCGGCCUGGGAGACCCUCUGGGCCGAGCCCCCGUGGACAGCCAGAAGCGCUAAGGUGGGGAAGGCCCAGCUCUGAAUCCCAGCGAGAGAGGGAGAAAGGGAACAGGACAGUGUUGGAGGAACCUGGGGGACAAGUGACCAAGAGAGAGACCACACUGUCAGUCUUAACGGGGUGGAGGCAAGUGUUGGAAGGACACAACACGAGGUCUCGGUUCCCAGUGCCACCACCCCCUUUAUCAAGGGGCAUUAGGGUCACACCUGGCGGCUGGGAGACGACUACCACAUAGCUGGACAGCCGGACGUCACAGGCAGCCCCGCACUCGAGUGGGAUGGGUGAGCGCUGGAAGUGGUGGAGCAUGUCCACAACCGAGGGGAAGUGGAGGUGUUGCACGCGACACUGGCCCCGCUCAGUCAGUGACAGGCGCAGGUGCUGCAGGAGAGGAGGACGGUAGGCUCAGGCAUUGGCCCCUAAGGGCCUUGAACCUGGCCAGGGUGCAGCCCACCUGCCUCGCCCCAUACCUUGGCUAUGCCCUGGAAGUUGAACGUGAGCACGUACUCCCCACGCCGAGUCUCACUCUGCCGUACCAGGAACACUCCAUGAGCGUCAGGACCCUGCAGCUGAACCAGCUGAGCUGCCUUCACUCGGGAGAUGGGGCCAUGGAACCAGGGGUAGCAGGACAGGAAGUGAUCUGUUUUCUGGCAGGCUGGAUCCAGCAACCCCCCAGGAGAAGCACCUGAUAGAGAAGGAGACAGCAAAAGGGUCCUGACUGCACCUGGCUGACCCUGCAGAUGCUUGUUCCCGGGGCCCAGGAGCUCUCAUCGUUUUCUCAGAAAGGAGAUCACCCCUUCACUGCCCCCAUCUCCUCCACUUCCUCCUGUGAUAAGACUGGUAAGAUUGUUUCUCUGGGGUCAUGAGAUGAUCGAUGGCUGCUUCCAGCAGAGGCCAAAAGAAGAUAAGAGUGUGGGGGAAGGAGCAAGAUGUGGGAAAUGGACAGAGGAGACCCAACUGGGCCCUCCUCCCUCCAGCAGCUUUUCCUAAGAGCCAGGAGACAGACAGCAAGGCGCACCUGGAGAUACCACAGCUCUCACCAAGGCAGUGCCGGCUGGGGAGGAGGAAACAAGAGGCAGGAACAAAGGGUUGGUAUGGUGAUGGGUGAACUAUAUAUUGCAAGUGAAAGAAAUACCUGAUAAACAGCUGUUGUUAAAUUUCCAGGCUGGGGCCAGCCAAGAUGGGAAAAGCCUGCUUGGGUUGACUGCUGCGUUACAGUGCUCCCGUGUCACAGGACUGCAGUACGGCAGCAUUACAGUGCUCCUGUGUCACGUACAGGACUACAGCUUCCCCUGAGCACACACCUGCUUUCUCUCAACCUUACAGACCCUGUUUGUAAUGUGCUCCCUUUCUACCUGCAACGAAGUUAUAACCUCCCUCCCUACGUACAUACCCUAAGUAGGAUAAAAGGGGAGAGUAAUGGAAUGUAAUUGAUACUAAAAUAAAAUGUAUAUAUCACUGUGA